rnacentral:lncRNA from 1 species
GGGGGCUUCACAGAACGGUGCAAGUUAUCACUUGACAAAUUUUUGAGAAGCUGUGUCAUAAUCCCAUCACAGCAAGGCAGUAUUUUAUCCUCCAAUGCCCUGCAUAUGUCGCCUACUACACCAACAGUUACGGCACAAACUUGGUACUCCUCAAAAUUCUGAAGGUCAAUCUCCAGAAACUUGUAAAAUUCCGGCAGGUAUUUAGCAAAAUCAGGGCCUAUCGCAUAGGCAAGGGCUCCAAUAGCUAGCAUGGCCUCCUCAUGGGCAGUGGCAUUUCUACAAGCAAAGACCCAGAUGAAUAGUCCCAUUAUCUGAUCAGCAUACUGCAAGAAAACAUAUUUGGUAGGUUCUGAAGACCCUAGCUUUUGAAUAAUUACAGUCAAGCACCCACAAAGAAGGCCUAUAAGUUCACUAUGUUUAUCUCUUUCAUCAGAUGAAAGAUUUUGUACUUCAAGACAUUUGUGCAGCUCCAUCAUGAUGACAGAAACUAGUUGUAAUACCAAAGGAGCUGUUUCAUCUGUUGAACAUCUUACUACUUCGUUCAAUGUUUCAUAUGCUGAAGCUCUUAACCUUGAUUCCGUAGCAUCCUCUCUGAGGGUAACAGUGAGAAGGGCUUGAACAAUGUCCUUGAAAAAGGGAGUUAUCGGAGAUGUUAGUCCCACAUCCUCAUAACCCUGUGCUAGAAAAUACAGAGCUCCACAGGCUUUCUCAGCAACAUUAGGGACAUCCUUCAUGCUCUGAAGGAGAAUUGUAAUGAUUUGUUGGGCAUUUUCCUCAUUAAUGAUAGUUGUGCCAACAAUUGAACUGUGAAGAAAUUCAAACAUUCGUCCCAAAGUCCAAGCAGUGGUGCCUCUAACAUGAUUGCUUGGAUCCUUCACUAGAGCAUUGAGCAUAAAUGGUAGAGCAUGAUUAAUGAGAGGUGCUAAUUUGUCUGGGGAAGGCCCCUCCAAGAUAGAGCCAAAUGCAUUGGUGGCUGCCUCCCUCUGUCUCCAAUCUGGUUUGGUAAUAUUCUCCUCAAUGAAGGGAAUUACUAGUGGCACAAUAUCGUCUCUGCUAGUAAGAGCAACUAAACCAAGGCAUGUACUGCCCGCCAUUGCAAUAUUCCAUGUAUCUUCAUCCAGAUCUUGAUCUUCUUCUUGUUUAAGUAAUGUUUCCAACAGCAGAGGGAUGAGUGCAGGAAGGGCUUGCUUAAUGAAGUAAAAACAAUGUAUAUCAGAGUCCCCACUGGUAUCCCCCACAUGAUUUUCCAAGAUAUCAGUCUCCUCAUCACAAAUCGUACUCCAGAAUUCAAUGGCUUGGAGAGCAACAGGCUCCUGAUCGCUCCUAAUAGCAUUUGAUGUGAGGUUAUAUAUAACCUGGAUGUGCGGUUCCAAUUUUACAUAAUACAUAGCAGCAAUUGAGACCAAGCAUUCAAAAGCCGCCUGCCGUAUCUUCACUUCGGGAGACAUAGUUGUCUCACACACAACUGUCAUGAUACAUUCACACUCCUCUUUAUUGCUAAAAUUAGCAUGUGCAAAUCCAAGAGCAUUAUAUAAUGCCCCAGUAGCAGCAAGUCUGACAUCAUUACUUUCAGAUGAGUUCAUACCUUGAACUACAGCAGUAAGAAUUUUAUCUACUUGGUCUUUAUCAACAACCUCGUGAGAGACUUCCUCACACAAAUACCCCAGAGUUUCCAAAGUUGCUUGCUUGACAUGAGCUGGAACUUGGUGAAUAUUUGAUAAUAGUGAUCCUAUCAGCUCAGGCCACUGUUUCUGAGGAAGCUCAAUUCCAGCAAUUUUAGCAACAACUUGAGUUGCGGUAGACCGAGCAUCAAGUACAAGAGAGGAGAGUGUUUGGAGCAAGCAUGCCUUAACCUGGGCCUUUGCUGCAGUGUCCAAUGACAACCAUCUUUGAACCAAUUCCCACUUUCUGUUUUCAUCCUUGGCGUCCAAUGCAUUUUUAAGUAUUAAACCUGCCAACUUUCGGCUAUCAACUGGUUUAUCUUCACUUGCUAACUCUCCAGAAAGAGAGACCAAGAAACCAGGAAGGUUUUGCUCCUGAAAUUGCUGCAGAUUUUCUUCAGCAUGCUUACGUAUAGUCCCAUCAAUGGAUUGAGCAUUCAAAAGUGCUUGAGUAACUUCCAUCACUAUGCUAUACCUAAGGGCACAAAACAAUCAGCUUAAUAUUCCACUUUAAAGUAAAAAAAAAAAAAAAAAAAAAAAAAAAAAACAGCAAGAUAAUGAGUCUAUUGAAGAGGCAAUUAUUUUAUUAGUAAAUAACAGAUUUAGAGAUUAACCAAUUGGCCAGAAAGUUGACAGAAACAAAGCAAUAUAUAAAGAUGGCUGCCAUGCAGCAAUAUACUAGGAUUUGACUUAAAUGAACCGGCGGCGUAAACAAAUUUUACACUAUCAAUAAAUCAUAAUCGUCAAAUCAUUCAAAACAUUUGACUUUAUCCUAACUAAAUCUAAAAUGACAUAUAUGGAUGAUUGCAAUGAGCCGACAGUGUAUGAAAAUUAAACUCGUGAUAAAUUAAGCAGAAAAAUGAAACGAAAAGACCGUCAUAUGACUGUGGUACGAACCGAACCAGGAAAAAGAUGAACUGCAAAUAUUAUAUACAAGUUAAAAUUGAAUUUCUCAAAGUAUAACAAACAAGAAUGUUAUUUAAUGGCAGAUAGUUCAUAUGUGUCAAAGAUUACUCGAGUUUUUCCCUAUUGAUAACACCUAUUAACAAUAAAUUAGAAAACCAAGCAAAUUGGUAGUUAAGCAUGCAGGAUAUAAAAUUAGAAUACAGACUUGACUGUAUAAACUGUGUGUUAAUCACGGUUUUCUAAAUGAGGGAAUUCGCUUUCUUUUCAGUUUCAACAAAGAAAAUUAUUUAUUUUGACCGUACAUAAACUAUUUCUAUUCCUAGGUCAGUAGGUUGCUUUCUCUCCCUAUUUUGUUUAACACCUAUUGUUUACUUCACUGAUUCAAAGCAAAAGCUUUGAAAAUCAUCAACGUAAAUGGAUUAUAAAUCAUCAGAAAAAUGAAAACUUAACAUCGAAGUGAAUGAAUGGAAUCAAACAAACCGAUUAUAAAUCAAUCGAACUCAAUACAGAAAAAAUUCAAAUCGACCAUAAUGGAAACAAAGAAUAAACUAACGUAUUGAAGCACCGUUGAAUGAAAAACUAAACCGCAUAAUUAAAACUUCAUUAUAAAAAAAUAGAAACAACAUAAAAAUAAAAUUUGACGUGAAGAACGAAAACGGGAAGAGUGUAUUGGAAUAACGAACGACGGUACCUGAAAUUAGGGCUGAAAUCGUAGAAGAGAUCGCAGCUAAGGAAGGAGUGAGCGAGUGAGUGAGAAGCAAAGAGAGUGGCACAAUUGUAACACCGGUUACAAUCGCAAGCUUUGGGUACGAGUUAAAAAAAACAGCCAAUAAUAGUAAAUAAAUAGUAAUCUUAUGCCGAUUAGGGUUGGAAAUAGGUUGGACCGAAAAGAUCCGACUUGGUCAAAAACUUCACGACCUGACCCAUCGGUUAAUCUAAGUAAAGAUGAAAUAUUUGUUUGUGUUAACCUCGGGUAAUAAGGAAAAGAGAUCUUCUGAUUCGAGACUUGACCCGUAAAUAUUAUUUUUUUUUCCUUUUAUGACCAUAAAUACUAUAUAUUCUGUCACAAUAAAAUUUUGUAUUAUAAUAAAUAAUUUAAUUAUUUAAUAGACUAACUGAAUAAUAAAUAAAAAAAUUUAAUCAGUAUAUUUUAUCGGUUUACAAUUAUUUUACAAAUGCAUUUAAUAAUUUGUUGCCACGCCAACUAAUCUAUACUAUAUAUAAACAAAACUACCCACUUCAUCACUUUUGGACUAGAUUUUUCUUUCCAAAAAUACUCUCAAAUUUCAAUACAAAUAACACAUGUAACAAAUAGAUAAAAAUAAAUUUAAAUAUUAAAACAAACACGGUAUGAAUAUAUAUAUUUUUUUCCUUUAUUAUUUAAAAAGUGUAACAAACUAGAUAAAUAUAUUUAUAUUUACUUUUUCAUCAUUUCAAUUAUACCCUUAAACAACUUUUUUCUAUAAUAAAAUUGUUGUUCGUGUCAUUAUUAUUUUUUUAUUUUUAUAUUGUGUUAUUGUCGAUGUCGUUGAAAUAGAUAAUCGUGAUUAGUUUGUUUUUUUAUAACUUGAAAACAACGAAAAUUUAUAUAUUUUUUAGUUUUAAUCAAAAUCAAAAUUUCAUAAAAAAAUAAACACCGUUCAAAAUUUUCAAACGUUAGCGCAAUAAAAAGAGCAGAGUGCCCCGUCUUUCGCUAGUGAAUAUAAAAACACCUGAGUUGUCAUAUUCGUUGAUUGAUUCGUCCUUGUGAGCUCAUCUCAGUUGGUUUGGACAAUGCAUAAUAUAUGCAAGGUCCGGGGUUCAAACCCUAGCCACCACCAAAAAAAGAUGAAUAUUCAUUGAUUGAUUUCGUAACACAUCAUUAAAUGUAUGUGUAAAAUAAAUGUACAAUGACUGAACAUACUAAUUACACUCAUAAAACGAUGAGAUUAAAAUCUAUUUAUAUAUUUUACAUGUUAUUUUAGUGAAUAUCAUAUUUUUAUUACAAUUUUAAUUCAUAAUAAUAUAUUUAAAUAUUCCCUAACAAAAUAAUAUAUCUAAAUAUGUUAAAAAUUGAAGCAUGCGCGUCAACUCCUUAUUCCCUGUCUUUUUGUUGACUCGGAGAUUGUGCUUAGUUUUGUCAACAAUGACUUUUGUGCUACUGCUUCUCUUAGUCAUCUUCUUAAUGAAGUGAUUCACCUUCUUCGUGAUCCGGACUUGCAUGUACCUCUCCAUCAUAUCAUAUUUACAUAAAAGUCAACAGUUGUGUCGAUCUCCUUGCCAACUUGGGUCAUGGUGGUAGUUUCACUUGAAAUAUUUUGGAUCAUUCUCGAUCCUCUAAAGUUGCAUUUUUAUUUUCAUGUUUUAGGAUGUUGUACACCCAGACUUGUUCCUUACCUUUUUCUUUAAUUUCAUAAAAUUUUAUUGUGUUUUUUUCGUGAUUUCAUCGUAUGAGUGCGACAUUGUGUUGUUCGUCGUCUUGUGCGGUAUUGUUUGAUUUCGCGUCUUGUUGUGAUGUUCGUUUGUUCCUAUUGAAAGAUCAACUUCAAUCAAUCAUUUACAAAUUCAAUCAAUGAUUUGAAUGUCAAUGUUGCAGAUCCAAAAACAUUGGUAUUAUGGUGGUUUUGAUUUUAUCGUAUUAUUUGUAGGCAUUUUGUUGUUGCAUGCUAUUAACAUUGGUGAUGUGAGUUUGUUCGUAGUUUCACCCUUUAUAUUUUUAGCGAUAUUAAUGAUGUUAUUAUCUCUGAUGUAUUCUAUCAAUUUGAAUGAAUGAAUAUCGUUUUGCUUUUGUAAAAAUAAUGUUAUUCAGAGAGUAUAUCUCCUUAUACCAAAACAAUUAUAGCACUUAUUUAUACCCUUUAUAGCACGAUAAAAACUCCUACUUCAUCCAUUUUUAAAGUCUCGUUUUAGAAUAGGAACAUCAAAUUAAGGAAGUGAAUUUUUGAGUUUUUUUCCUAUUAUAUCCUCAUUUUAAUCUAGCAAUAAAUUCAUAUAUUUUUGCACACGCAUUCACUCAUAACAAACAAUUGCUAGUUAUUUUCCCUCUCCCACAAAUUCCUAUUUUUUUGCACACUUUAUUUCUUUUUUAUAACAAACAAUUGUCAAUUGUCUAAAUAUUAUACACAUAUUUUUAAUAAUAGUAAAGCAAAAUAAAAUUUAUUUCACAUUAAUCAAAAAUCAUAAUUUGUUUAAAGUCUGAUAUAACAAAAAACAAAAUUUCUUUUAAAAGAGUAAAUAAAAGUAAUUAAGAAAUAGUAUAAUUGAUAAAUUAGACACUUAAUCUAUUAAAAUGAAAGUUAAAUAAAAAAGCUUAAUUUGAACUCAAAUAACACUUAAAUAGAAAUGGAGGGAAAAUAUUGUGAACAGGUGACCUAUUACAGCGCUUUUUGUGUGUUAUCAAAAGUUUACAUUUCGUAGCUUCUUUCCUACCAAGAGCAGUCGUAGGUUUGUGAUGAUUAUUGGAUUACAUUUAAUAGCGACCAUAUGACUGUGCUAUCAAAAGCAGUACUUACCAUAGCUCCUCCUAGAAUAAUCGUUGUAAAACAUGCUUUUUUGAAUUAUUUGAACUUUAUCAUAACUGUUGUGAAUUGGGUCUCAAAUUUCAAACCUCACAUCAAUGAAAUUUAGAUUCGUGGAGCAAGUAUCAAUGGCAACCAACAACCAAAAGUAAAUCACAAGCAACAACAACAAUAUAGACCUAGUCCAUAAACCAAGUGCAUAGCAAAACCACAAUCUAACCAAAGGAUAAACAAGAUAAAGAAAGUAGAGAAAAAAAUAACAACACCAAUAAAUGUUCACCCAGUUUGGUCCAACAAUGACCUACUCUGGAGGAGAGAUUGAUGUCUCCAAUCCACUAUAAUGAGUUCUUACAAAGAGAUACAAAAUGGGUUACAAGAAAUUAGCUUAGACAAGCUCACAAAAAACAACCCUAAUUUCUACCCAUUUUCCCAAUCUCACCAAUGAACAAGACACUCAUGAAUUUUCACUCUCCCAAGGUGUUUACAAUUAUUUCCCAACUCUAGAAUCUAACCGCUAAAAGAGAACCAACCCUUAGCUUUGAUUUCAUAAAGAUCUUCUCUUUUGGUUUCAUAAGACUCACUCAAGUUGCUCACAAAUGAGUCUCCACUCAUGUGUUUCCCAACCCCAUGAAUCUUCCCAAAAGGCACCAACCCUUUUCCCAAGAGCCCCCUCUUUUGGUUCUCUAAGAUUCACAUCUUGAAGCUUUGAACCUCACCCAAAGACCCUCAACCUUUAGUAUCUAAAAACCUAAAAGUUAUCUCCUUUGGUUUCCAUGAGAUUCACCAAGCUUUUUUCACCAAAAUGGGUCAUAGAGUGCUUAAAUAGUGUGAUAGAUCUGUCAAAAUCGCGUCGCGCCAGCCAAAAUCGUGCCACGGUUCAUUGUGUACGACCCAAGGUACAACGUCCUUAUCUAGAAAUCGUGUCACACUGCACAAAAUCGUGCCACGAUUUGCUUCAGCAGAAACCAUCCAUUCUGCCAGCAAAAUCGCGCCACGCCUCUGAAAAUCGCGCCACGAUUUUCAGCUUUCACAGCAUCACAAUUUUGAGUCAUUUCUCAACAAUAACAAUCAAACACUUUACUAUAUCAAUAACUGAUUUAAAUGAAUAAAUAAAAAAUAACUUAAAAAUUCAUUAAUAGUCCAAUACGAUAUUGCAUAGACACAUUCGAGAGAUGUGUACCACCAAAUAUUGAUCACGAAAUAACUCAAACAAUGAAAUGCAACUCUAAUCCAAUCGUAGAUAUGGAAAUGACAAUCUUAAUCGAUUAUUUCUUUAUCAACUUUCGAACUGAUUUCUCUUUACAUAAUUUCUUUCAGUUUUCAAAAUCAUUUUGGAUAAAAAGUAUCAUAUAAUCUUAGACUAAUUUCAGAAACUUCAAAUGUUGAUGUGAAGUAGAAGCUAGAAAAAUAGAAACAACCAAUAAGAUUAAUUAGAGAGUGGGCAAACAAGAUAAGUUGGUUUACAUUUACUAAAUUAUAUAAAAAGAAACACAAAAAUGGCUUCAAAAAAGACUAGUUUAAUUGAAAAAAAUAAGAUCUCAUAGCUAAUGGUAUCUCGUGAUUCCAAAAAUGGUUAAGCUUUAACACCUUGAGUCCUUUUAUUCCUUCAAAUGAUAAAAAUUAUUAUAAUUUGAAGUCACCUUUUAACACUAAAAUCUGAAGGUUUGGAAUAUACAAUUGAAAAAGAUAAUAAUCUUUGUUUGCAUAACCAUUGUAGUAGAACGAGGUUACCCCAAAACAAUCCUUUAUAAUAUCUUUCUCACUCAGGAUGAUGGGUUUUUGGUCAACAUUUUCAUAAAUUUUUUUAUGAUUUUUCUUGAAUUUCUUUGAUAUCCACAAGCAUAUCAUGUCAUGCAUCUUCAAAUGUUUUAGUGUUUCCUCAACGAUUCUUUACCAACCACAAAUCAACAAUCCAUAAUCUAAGAGCUUGGUUAUGCUUGCUUCAAUGCAAUCCUUGAUUUUUUUAGGGUACCCUCUAUGAUUUUUUUUGGAUGGCUAGUGGUUCACUUAUGCCCAGAAAUAGCUCCGAAACUAGCUUUGGUUGACCUUUGAAUGGUCUGAUUAGGCAGUUCACAACCCACCUAGAUAAUUGCCUCGUUUAGUAUAAUAUAAGCCAAUUGCAGAAUUUAUAUUAAAAAGCUUAGUCUAUUUUCUUUUUGGAUAAUUAUGGGUUGACAACCUUUUUUCCUCACGUCACUCAUAUAUCAUUCUAUGUGGCAUUUUUUAUUUUUUACUUCUCUUCCCUUUUAUCCUCUCUCCACAUGGGGGUGCAGAAUGGAGAGUGUGCCAUAUAGGGUGAUCAAUGUAUCGUUACUCUUUCUUUUUCAUGUAAGUGACGACUUUUGAAGAAUAAGCUUCUCUUUUCUAAAAAAUAGUAGAUAAUGAAUAAGUUAUAUUUUUGAUGGGAUAUAGUGAAUAAGUUAAAUGAUAUAAAUUGGAUGAAUUAAUAGCAGAUAAGACAAGGUAAUUUAUAGUCGAUAGCGAAUAAACUAACAAAUAAUUGAUAGCAAAUAGACAGAUUAUAAGAUUGGUUAGAUAGUUGAAUGAAGAGGUUCAUAAGUUGAGUGAUUAGAAGGUUGACCCACAUCCUGGUGGUUUUAGGGGGCGGUGGCUGGAAAUGGUUACCUUAAGGUGAAGAAAGGUUUGAAGAAAUUGGUGAAGGAACAAUGAUUUUUUUUAAGGAACAAUGAUAUCACCAAUGUUUCUCACCACAUUCAAACAUAAUAUUAACAACACCGAUAUAUUUUUUUAAGGACAAAACUUAGGUGCUUCUUCAAAGUUUGUUGUAACAAAGAAUGCGUUAAAUAUUUUGAGGGAGAACUCACACGCUACACACACUAAAUAUUGAAAAACAAUGAAUUGUAUUUUAGAAGAUUUAUUUACAUUUUGAUAAGGACAAUGCAUAAUAUAUGUAAGAUUUGAGGUUAAAAAUUGGAAAAUAAAAUGAUGCACUGAAGUCAGCACUCAGUACCAAAAAGGGAAUAUGUAUUAACUAAUUUAUGUGGCUAUUUAUUUCUGCAGUCUCUGAUCUCCUUUCGUGGGAUAAUCUCAAUGACUACAUGUUAUGUUACUAUAAAAUACCAAUGAAUUUUAUUAUUUUGAUUAGAUCAAGUUUUAUUCCAAGUAAUAAGAAAGUCCAAUGGUAGACUUUAUCCUCAAUUUUCUUGCAAUAUAUAUAAUGGUCUAAUUGUCCAUACUUUAUUUAUUUAAUACCUCAUAAGUUACAAUACACACAAGUAGUGGCUCCGGUGAAGAAACUAACUCGAUUGUCUAUAUAAUAAUCAUACCAUGUCUCCUCUUACAUGAACAAAACAUUUUGAGGGGAAAGACAUAAUAUUAUACUAGUAUAUAGUUUUAUUAUAUUAUUAUAUGAAUAUGAUUAGUAAUUAGUUGUUAAGGUGUUUAACGACCCUUGCCAGGUUUCUUUGAAUGCUUUGGGUUGGGUCCUGCUUCAUCAUAAUCCAACACAAAAGCAUGAGACAAUAGCUUCCUCGAGUUCAUCUUUAUAUCAUCCUUCAUUCAAUACCAAAGUACUUGUUAGUUAAAAAAAAAAAUUAAGAUCUAAUCAUCAAAUACUAAGUUGAAAUAAAUCAAAAAAAGAUUACAAAUUUUUUUAUAGGACAAUUUUUAAUUUAUUUGUAAACAUUAUUGUUGGAAUUAUAUGGGAUAUAUCACAUUAGUAAAUCUAAGCAAAUAUUAGCAUUUGCUUCAAUGUAGCUCCAUCUAUAUUCAUCAUUAUUUUUUAUUUUUUAUGUUGAUCUUAAGUAUUUUGGCCUUCAAUUAGCUUCAUUAAUGUUUACCAUUUAAAACUAAAUAAAAAAAGAUAGUAAGGUACCUUGUAAAGAAAGUUAUUAGUAGUAGGAUGCAUAUUUUCUCUGAAUCCUUCAGCCAAUCCUAAAAGAGCAAAAAAAAAAAAAAAAAUGUUACACGAGUUGAAUUAAUCUCUACAAAACUUAAACCACUUAUAUCAAGUAAAAAUUUGUUUACCUGAAGAUAAAGGAAAAUGAAUGAAAACCAAGAGGAUGACUAAAAGGAAAGUCUUGAUUUUGUGUUCCAUGGCAAGUAUAUGCAAUGAAGAGUUAUGUGUAUUUUUGUUCCUCUCUUUAUGAGAAGCUAAAAUGAAUAUAAAUGACUUGGCAGGAAAAUGAAUGUAGGGGCACCCCUUUUUAAACUUGGCUAAUAGAUUAGAGAGAGUGCCCUUGUCAUGGUGCACCCCACCCAAUAACAACAGAGUGAUGAUGAAAUGCAAUAACUUGUCACAACACUUGGGUAAGUCAACUAUACUAUUCUAUAUAUGGACUAUAUGAUAAUUGCAUUAAGAAAAAGAUAAACAAUUCAAUAUUUUAAUUUGCAUGUGCACAUUACUAAUAUUUCCCCUGCAUGGCUCAAAAUUAGAUAGACAUUACAUCUUGUGUUUUCUGUCCACCUUUUAGUAAGUCAACUUUUGUUUUCUACUUUCUAAGUAAGUUGCAACAUUGCCAUAUAGUUUAUUUUAUAUUCUUAUAUGCUUGUCAAUUUUUAAUCAUAUGUUAAUAAUAUAUAUGGUUCAUAUUCUAAUAAGGUCAAUCUCAAUUAACUUCAAUAUGGAAAAUCAACCACAUUCACAUAGUGGUGAAAGCUGCUAAAUCCUUCUCGUAGUUUUGAAAAUUUUCCGUGGUACCAAUCACCACUUAAAAAUGAAAUGAUGCUUUUGAUCCUCAUAUUUAGGCUUUCAUCACUUUUUUUAGUCAAUGGAUGGAGACAGGCAUGUAGAGUGGGCUACAGAAGAAGAGAAUUGAAUGUGGAAUGCCCUUAGUGGGUGCACUAGCAAUAAGGAGAGGGAAACAUCAUUACUAAUUUAACCCUAAAUUAAAAUAGAUACUACCUCCGUCCUUAAUUAUAAGACCUUUUGAAGAAAAAAAAUUAUCCCUUUUUAUAAGACAUCUUUUCUAUUUCCAACUACAUUAAUUAUUUCUUUACAUACAUGCCCCUAUUUAUUAUACACUUUUUUCUUGAAUCAACAAUAAAUAGCAUAUGGAAAACAUAAACUAACUCUCUCUCUUAAGGAUAAAACUGUAAAAACAAUAGUACUUACAAACAACUUUAAUAUAAAUAUCCACUUUCUUAAUUUCCGUAAUUUUAGCAAAAGGGUCUUAUAUAUUGGGACGAAGGUAGUAAAUAUUAACUUAAUCACCCUUUUGGAGACCAUAAUGUAUGUUGGCAAUAAUGAGUCUAACUAAUAGACUAAUAUAAACUGCUUUAUUCCUGCUUCUGGUAAUUAAUGGUAUUUUGGCAGUAGUGAACAAAAAAAGGCUAGUAGGCCUAAAAUAUUUUCGACAACCAUAUGUGCUACCAUCCUAAAACUAUCAGUCUAUCAUAGAUACUUUCCAACAAAAAGUUUAUUUGGUGUUAGUAUUUCAUUUUUCAUAUGAUAAAGAUUUUUACAGGCACAUGGUUUUUAUUAAAAAUCCUACACUAGAUUAGAUGGGAUAUGGUAUAAUUCACCUAACAAAACGAAUUUAUAAAAGUUGAGUUAGGUCCAACCUAAAUUUUAAAAUGGCAUCACAUCGUAUCUAAAUUUAUUGAGUAUGUGUUUGGUUUAGUGUUACAGAGAUACAGUGGCGUAUCCAGGACCCUGGAUUAGAGGGUGCAAAAUUUUUAACACAAUUAAUAUAUAUAUAUAUAUACACACUUUUUUUAGCCAAAUAAUUAAACUCAAAUGAUUAAUGUGUUUCAUACAAGAACGAACCGUUCGAAAGAAUCCAAGUUCGAUUAUAUAUGAAACACGAUUUUUUAUUAGACUUUAUUUACCUCAUGACUGAACAUCAGAUCACUAGAGUCUCCUUCCCUAUGAACCAAAGGGUUAACACUAAAGAUACCCUAGUUAAUACUACUAACUUGUCUUAAAAUAUGAAAUGUCAAAUUUGAUACACAUACAAACAAAAGAUAAUUUGGUAAUAUUAACACAUAAAAUAGACACAUUAAUUACACUGACAACUUUUCUUAAGAAGUGUGAAAAUGCAAAAGGUGCUUAAAUAUAGGGAUGGUGGGAGUAAAUUAUCAAUGUUACCAUUAUUUAAUUUGAUACACCAUUAAAAAAAUGGAAUAUAAUAUAUCAAUAACAAUGCGACACUACAAUUCAUUGUCAGCUGCAAAUGAAAUUGAACUGCAUAACUUUUAAGAAUGCUAAUGGGUUAGAGUAAGAAUGUCAUAGAACCAUUGAACUAAUAGCAAAUGUGAGUGGGUUCAUCAUUCGGUGCAAAGAAAUUAAUUCAGAGGGUUCAUAGCUAAAAUUUUAUGAGAAGGUAGGUGCAAAUUUUUUGAUGUCAGGGUAUGCAAGUGCAUCCCCUCAAUUCAAUGUGGCUCCGCCACUGCAGAGAUACUCACAUUUGCAGUGUAACUUUUGUAAAACGAAAUUGUAAUCGACGUGAAAGCUACAAUUGUUAGCUUCGUUUCAACGCGUGGUGGUGGUGGUGGGUGAUCCCACAAACAAAUACACGUUGAGUCAUCGGCUAUCAGGCCACUCAAGUCUGAAGUCACACUCGAUAUGUUUAGUCUAAAAUAUUUAGGAUGUAUAUUGAGAAUUCACAUUGAAUGAGAUAUAACAUGAAAAUGUGUUUAUAUAACUGCUUACAUAUCGAUUUUGUAAUUGUGGAAUUAAUUCCAACCAAAAUUAUGAGAGCUAAGCUUGUAUAUUUGCGUGCAUAUAUCUAUCUAUGCCCAUAUGUGACAUUGUGCCUUGCCUUCUUCAUAAGUCGUUAUACCUAUCACUUGGGAAAAGGGGGGUCUUUGACUUGUGUGGCUUAGCAAUAUUGCUCAUGCCAUUAAAUGGACUAAACUAUUCAUUGUUUCAAUAGGAAAAAACCAAAAUAAAUCAGAUAAAUAAUGUUGCACAUGCACUCAGGAUUCCCUUUCUAAAUUGGUAGAAUACAAUUAUUUUAAAGAGGUUUGACUUCCAAUUCCAUCACAGAACACUGAGCAUCAAGUGUCGGCAUAUGCACGGUUCUUAUUCUUCGUUGGAGUAAACAGAAACUGGUGCAAAAUUCUCCUCUCCUAUAUACAUAUGUGUGUGACACUGUUUUCUCAAUGCUGGAACUGAAGAGCCAAGUAUAGAUGAAUGCAUUAAGUCACUAAAUGGAUGCUAAAAGUGGAGUUGCUAUUCAUCUUGGAAGCUUACUGUGAUAUCCUUUCCAUAUCAUAUAGUAGUCAAAGACUACAAAUUCUAAUUAGUAAUUUUACAUGGAAGAUGAACUGAAAGUUAUAUUAUAAGAGAAAAUUAAAAGAGAGAUAAAAAUAAGAAUGGAGAAUCUCAUUCACAUCCAAAUCACUGCUUUAUUUGGUGUUAUAUAAAUUGGUGGCAGUCAGAUCAAAAAAGGUCACAAGCACUUUCGCUGAACUAAUUUGAAAGUAAGAAAGUUACCCACCCACAUUUGAUCCUUUUGUUCUCCGUUCCAUUAAAACUCAAAUUAUAUAGAACAUGGAAAAAACCUAACUCAUCAUUUUCUUCUUUGAACUAUUGCUGCCACUUUAGAAUAGAGUAAGACAUUACAGUACAUAUUAUCAAGGUGGCUUUUCAGGGGGUCUCAUGGGACAAAAAAUUCGACUAUUCAUAUUAUAAGCACUUGACAGAUUAACUGUUGAACUUUUUAGGGGUUUAGAAUCUAAAGCAUGGCAUGGAAAAGCAGGUAUAAAGUUUUGAUUGUGAUCUGUGUUUUGGUUUUGAAUGCGCAUUUUUCACAGAAAGAAUAAGAAAAUUAUUAAAAAUGAAUUCUGAAAAACGAUAAUCUUUUUUACGGAUUUACUAUAUUCAUAUUUUAUUGUCAAUAUUUUCAUCAAGGGUUUCAAACCAAUUGACAGCAACUAUCAAGUGAUUUUAUUUGCAUGAUUGCAUCCUAACAUAUCUGUAAGGGUAAGCCAUAACAGUAGCUGGACAAAAAAAAAAAAAAAAAAACUAUUCUAGCAUAGACAACAAACUUUCUCUCACUGGACAAAUACUUUUUUUUUUUUUUUUUUUUAUUAUUAUAUAUAAACAAGUUUUUUCGAAUCCCUCAUUUUAAGGAGUUCAGAUCUGCUCCAUUUCCAACUUGCCUUAGUUUUCCUGUUCUUUGACAGAUGAGCGACACGUGUCGAAACAAUUCAUCAACGGUUCAGAUUGAAAGGAACAAACUCCAUUCUAAGUUUGUACGCAUGCUUCUAGAGCUACUCCAUUAGCUAGACACCAUUGCAUUUCUCCAAGGUGUUUUCUCCUACUGAAUUCAACCAUGCAUAUAUCGGAAAAUUUUCGUACUAUUCAUCAGUUGGCCACCAUACAACAUUUCAGGAAAUAAGUGAUGAUUUUUAGUAACCCACCAUACAACAUCUCAGAAAAUAAGAGAUGAUUUUUAAUUUCAUUGUGAAUAUCACGUUUUGUUACAGUUGGAAAUAAGUGAAUUUUGAAUUUGAUCAUCAGGAUUGUUCAUUAAAUGGGUUUGAUCUAUGCCCACUAAAUAAUAAUUCAAAUCAAAAUAAUUGUAUUGGAAUAGUAUGCAUAGUGAACUUUUUUUUGGUAACAAAAGGGAAAUAAAAAAAAUGCAUUGUGAACUUUAUGCAUAUCUCUAAUUUGCUUCCUGCGCCACAAAUUUUAUAAGAUAUAUGCAAUUAUGCAUAACUACUAGUAGCUAAUUUUGAUUUGUAACAUUCCAGUUUAUAAUAUUCAAGUAUAUGCAAAUAAAUAAGUAAAUUCAAGAAUGCAGGAAACAUGAAAGUAUAAAAAUAAAAUAAAAAAUUGAACGGCAUGAAAGUAUUCCUUACUCCUUAAUCUUAUUAGGUUGCAACAACUUAAACCCUAAAAAUUUGGCUCCAAAAUUACAACAUUAAAUGCUAAGUGAGAUAACCCUAAAAAAAUUUGGCCCUAAAGUGUUUGGGAAUUUGAAUUUCAAAUUAUUUUAUUGGAACAAACCUACUAGCAUUUACCAAUAUAUCCCUUACUCCUUAAUCUUAUUAGGUUGCAACAACUUAACCCUAGAAAUUUGGCUCCAAAAUUGCAGCAUUAAAUGCUAAGUGAGAUAACCCUAAAAAAAAUUGGCCCUAAAGUGUUUGGGAAUUUGAAUUUCAAAUUAUUUUAUUGGAACAAACCUACUAGCAUUUACCAAUAUAUGUUAUUAAUAACAAUGAUAUUUUCCAAAGCAAAAAUUUGACCCAUAUAUGCUAUUUGAAUUUCAAUUUCUCCCUCAUUCACUUCUUAUUUUGUGUAUUUCGAAAUUAGCAAUUAGCCUAGCUAUUGUUGUGUCCCUUCCUAUUUUCAUGCAGCAUUUAGUGCAUUCUUUGCUGAAUAAUUGGACGGUUCCAUGAUAUCAGACUUUUAGAAUGCAUUGAAAUUCCUCACCUUUUAAUAUUACGGUUCCAGCUAAAAACGAAUCACCACUCUGUAGUCUCUCUCUUUCUACUAAUCUUCUUUCAUUUGCUUCUACAAUAAUUUCUCAGCAACGAGCAACUCACCAUUUUCUCAUCGGAAACCUAUCCCUCCACCUUUUCAUCUGUGUCGCUGAACUCAAUGGCGGAUUGAGGUAAUGCUAGAUAUGCUUCUCUAAUGGUAGCAGAUCAUUUGCUGUUAAAUUGGAGAAAUUGAACCAUUUAUUUUUCUUUGAUUUUAAUUGUUGUUACUAAUUUGUAUUUUUUUUUUUCUUUUCGAUUUUGAUUUGAACUGAAGUACCUGUAACUUUUGAUUUGAACGGAAGUCACAAUAUAUCAUGGACGACUUUGUGAUUUUUUAGUUAACAAAAAUAGAUUUUUUUUCAAAAACCAACGGGUCCCAUAUUGCAACAUAUUACCUUCUCCUUUGUUUCAGCACGGGUAAAAGUUCUAGUAAAAAUGAAAACUGCCUAUGAAGUAAUUAAACAAAAUUAUACAAUUUCAUCUAAUCUCAGUAUAAAAAAAAGUAUAUCACCAAACCAUAAGAAGGUAUAAAGGACACACACAAAAAUGCCCAAGCAAACCAAAAUUCACAAUUUUUUAUAUAGACACAAGGGAAAGAUAUCAAGUACAGGCCAGAUCCAGACUGCCUUCCAACAAGAGAAACAGCAGUCCACCACAAUUCAGUUGGUUCUUUUGAUGUCAUCACAAUAUACGACCAUCUUUUGUACCAAUCCACAGGAGUAGCCAAUACAUGAUUUUACAUACGCAAUUCAAAACAAAGAAAUAAAGGUUUGAUGAUUUCAUGAAUGCAAAAUGAUUAUGACCUAAGAAACCGAUAACAUCAAAACGGGAAUGCAUAUUGCGCGGUAGGAAGUAGCCUUUCCUAUCCUGGGUCAACAAUCACAAAUGACUCCAAUGAUAGCAAAGCAGUUAUGUGCAGAAAAAGUAAUAUGGAUGGUAGCCUAAAGAUACACGGUGAGGUGAUGAAAAAAAUGACUCAAGAAGAUGCAGGGUUAUAGUCAGAAAAAGGAAGAGAAUAUCUAAAAAUAAAGCACUUGGGUGGAGUGGAUGAAAACCAGUUCAACCCUGGGGGUUCAUCUAUUCCAAAUAACCCAUGACCAGAUCAGGAAAAAAAAAAUCAAUUUUAGCAUAGAAUGGGAUUAUCUUGACAUUCAAACUCAACAUCCAAGCCAUAGAGUAGAGUAGUUCUCAGUCAUGGACCAGCUACCUCCUCUUAGCGGCUCAGCCAUUCAACUUACACUCAUGAAGAGCUAAACCCACAUUUGUAUUCUCGUCGCUAACUUCUUCCUCUUGAAAGUAAUGGUGCUCAUGCAAAAGUCAGUGAUGCAUUCUUGAACGUACUGGACUUAAUGGUGCUCAUGCAAAGGUCAGUGAUGCAUUGGAGAUGAUGCAAGAGUUAGUGACAACUGGAAGACCUUCAAACAGAUACUUUCAGUUGUCUGACCAUGGAGACAAUUUGACACAUGCAAUCCCACGACCCACCUCGACACACCCAAAUGCAUGCAAGUAGUUUAUGACAAAGGAUAUGCUUACUGAGAUGAACCUCAAACAGAUAUAGCACGAUUGAUGGCCAACUUGGCCCAUUCGGCAGAUUCUUUAAUCAAAUGAUCAUCUGAGGUCAGACAUUCAUUCAAAAAUUGUGUGCUUGACAAAGACUGUUGAAUUAAGGAACCAGCAUUGCUUCCAAGUGUAUCAGCUAGAUCUCCAACGACACCAAUGGCUGUUUUCAUAACAAUGUCAUCCCUGCAGUAAGAAAAGUCAACGAAGUCACUAAAAGAAUGAAUAUAUUAUUGCUAUGAAAAAUAAAUUGGAAAAUGAACUAUUUUGCUUUCUCACAUGUCUUUUUCCAUGUAUAUGCUAUCCAAGAACUGGAGGAUGUGGGGAGCAUAAGGAAUCAAGAUCUGGGAUUUUGAUGAAUUCUUAAACCCUUGGAAGAUCCCAGAAUAUGCCUCUAAUAUCCCAUUUCUCAAAGAGUUAAUGUACUCUGUCAUUUCCAAGUCAAAGCCUGAUGUGUGGGCGUACAUCUCUGCAGCAAUUUGUAGUGUCUUCAUUGCAUACAUUAAGUACUUCUCAAAGUUGUCUCCUAUAGCCAGUGCUAUAUCACCAAUGCAUGAAAACAAGGGGGGCUUCACAGAACGGUGCAAGUUAUCACUUGACAAAUUUUUUAGAAGUUGUGUCAUAAUCCCAUCACAGUAAGGGAAUAUUUUAUCCUCCAAUGCCCUGCAUAUGUCGCCUACAACACCAACAGUAACGGCACAAACUUGGUACUCCUCAAAAUUCUGAAGGUCAAUCUCAAGAAACUUGUAAAAUUCAGGCAGGUAUUUAGCAAAAUCAGGGCCUAUCGCAUAGGCAAGGGCUCCAAUAGCUAGCAUGGCCUCCUCAUGGGCAGUGGCAUUUCUACAAGCAAACACCCGGAUGAAUAGUCCCAUUAUCUG